GAAAAAUUCUUGCUCGAGAGCCAUGUAUCCUUGCACAAAUUUUGCAGCACUGUUGAAGUUGAAUAUCCUGAAAUGCUACUUAGACUGGUCAAAAACAUAUAUAUUGUGUUAAACAAUGGAUCAUUCGAUGAAUACAGACUGGUGAGUUAGGUGUGGCCAUUCAUUCCAUGGAUGCUUGCUUUGGUCUAACUCGCAAAAAGUUGGCAGGGAAUAGUUUUGCCGUCCCAAACCAUGGCUGCCUUAAGUUUGCUGAUCAGGAUGAAGUAGAUGAUUUUGUUGAUCAUUAUAGCAAGUCUAAUAACAAAGUAGGAGAGGUAAUUAUUGCAUGAUGAAGGACUUUGAAGCC